GAAUCUUCCGCAAUGGACGAAAGUCUGACGGAGCAACGCCGCGUGAGUGAAGAAGGUUUUCGGAUCGUAAAACUCUGUUGUCAGAGAAGAACAAGUUGGAGAGUAACUGCUCCAGCCUUGACGGUAUCUGACCAGAAAGCCACGGCUAACUACGUGCCAGCAGCCGCGGUAAUACGUAGGUGGCAAGCGUUGUCCGGAUUUAUUGGGCGUAAAGCGAGCGCAGGCGGUUCCUUAAGUCUGAUGUGAAAGCCCACGGCUCAACCGUGGAAGGUCAUUGGAAACUGGGGAACUUGAGUGCAGAAGAGGAGAGUGGAAUUCCAUGUGUAGCGGUGAAAUGCGUAGAUAUAUGGAGGAACACCAGUGGCGAAGGCGACUCUCUGGUCUGUAACUGACGCUGAGGCUCGAAAGCGUGGGGAGCAAACAG
rnacentral:rRNA from 1 species